UGGUGGGUUAACGAGUUAGGUUGGGGAGAUUUUUUAUUUUACUUUUUCUGAGUUUCUAUCAUGUGAAAACAUAUGUCUUAAUUUUAGAUUAGAUGGUGCCAUAGAAAAUCCACAUGUGUAUAUUUUAUUUUUAAUUUUUUUAUUUUCAUUUUAUCACGUCAUAUUUUUAGACAAAAAUGUUAAUGUCUUUAAUUAUUGUUAUUACUUGUUCACUUUCAAAAUU
rnacentral:lncRNA from 1 species